CUUGAUUAAAUGGAACGUGUAUCAUUUCCUAGCCAUUAUACGGAUAUAUUUAUUAUAUCUUAUGGUAUUGGGUUUUGAUGCAAGCUUCUUGAUCAAAGUAUCACGAGUUUGUUAUAUAAUCGCAAACAAAUUCUUUAAUAAAACGAUGCAUUUAUGUAUUUUUGAUUUGAAAAUUUGGUAUAACUCCAAUUACUCAGGUAUGAUCCAAUUCAAG
rnacentral:rRNA from 5 species